rnacentral:rRNA from 1 species
CAGCAGCCGCGGGAAUACGUAGGGUGCGAGCGUUAAUCGGAAUUACUGGGCGUAAAGCGGGCGCAGACGGUUACUUAAGCAGGAUGUGAAAUCCCCGGGCUCAACCUGGGAACUGCGUUCUGAACUGGAUAGCUAGAGUGUGUCAGAGGGGGGUAGAAUUCCACGUGUAGCAGUGAAAUGCGUAGAGAUGUGGAGGAAUACCGAUGGCGAAGGCAGCCCCCUGGGAUAACACUGACGUUCAUGCUCGAAAGCGUGGGUAGCAAACAGGAUUAGAUACCCCAGUAGUCCCUGUCUCUUAUAC